UACGUAGGGUGCAAGCGUUAAUCGGAAUUACUGGGCGUAAAGCGUGCGCAGGCGGUUGUGCAAGACAGAUGUGAAAUCCCCGGGCUCAACCUGGGAACUGCAUUUGUGACUGCACGGCUGGAGUGCGGCAGAGGGGGAUGGGAAUUCCGCGUGUAGCAGUGAAAUGCGUAGAUAUGCGGAGGAACACCGAUGGCGAAGGCAAUCCCCUGGGCCUGCACUGACGCUCAUGCACGAAAGCGUGGGGAGCAAACAGGA
rnacentral:rRNA from 1 species